GACGGAGGAUGCAAGCGUUAUCCGGAAUGAUUGGGCGUAAAGCGUCCGCAGGUGGCAGUUCAAGUCUGCUGUCAAAGACCGGGGCUUAACUCCGGAAAGGCAGUGGAAACUGAACAGCUAGAGUAUGGUAGGGGCAGAGGGAAUUCCUGGUGUAGCGGUGAAAUGCGUAGAGAUCAGGAAGAACAUCGGUGGCGAAGGCGCUCUGCUGGACCAUAACUGACACUCAGGGACGAAAGCUAGGGGAACGAAUGGG
rnacentral:rRNA from 1 species